UACGGAGGAUCCGAGCGUUAUCCGGAUUUAUUGGGUUUAAAGGGUGCGCAGGCGGGAUGUUAAGUCGGCGGUGAAAUUUUGCAGCUCAACUGUAAAAGUGCCUUCGAUACUGGCUUUCUUGAGUGUGGAUGAAGUAGGCGGAAUUUGUGGUGUAGCGGUGAAAUGCUUAGAUAUCACGAGGAACUCAGAUUGCGCAGGCAGCUUACUAAACCACUACUGACGCUCAUGCACGAAGGCGUGGGGAUCAAACAGGAUUAGA
rnacentral:rRNA from 1 species